GUACUUGCUUAGGCAGCACAUAUACUAAAUUGUAACAAUACAGGGAAUAUUAGCAUGGCCCCUGUGCAAGGACGAUAUGCAAAUGUGUGAAGUGUUCCAUAUUUUU
rnacentral:snRNA from 1 species